GCAAGUCGAGCGAGAAAGGUCUUCGGACUGAGUAGAGCGGCGAACGGGUGAGUAACACGUAAAUAACCUGCCCCCAAGUUCGGGACAACCUUGCUAACGCGAGGCUAAUACCGGAUGUGGCUUUUAGACCUCAUGGUUUUUGAGUUAAAACUACGGUGCUUGGGGAUGGAUUUGCGUACUAUUAGCUAGUUGGUAAGGUAAUGGCUUACCAAGGCGACGACGGGUAGCCGGCCUGAGAGGGUGACC
rnacentral:rRNA from 1 species